UUUGGAAGAAGCUUAGAUGUCCUUAGAACUUUGUUCGGCACACAGCCAAUUCCGGCAUGGACGCCGGAAUAGCCGCCAUGCAGGCACGGAUGACUGCUUGGCGGCGGUGGCGAACAUAUAAUGUAUGUUUAUCAAAAUUCUUAGGACAUCUUGCUUCGAACAAC
rfam:Firmicutes bacterium CAG:882 genomic scaffold, scf6